ensembl:lncRNA
AUGUCCGUCUGCAUCCGGCCUCUUCAUUUAGAUGCUGUGCGCUGCCCCGGAGAGCCGGGCUGGGUGCAGCUGAGCUGCGGCCGGCCGAGCCCAGCGCGGAGACUCUGCCCUGCUCCUGCUCCCGCUGCCACUGCCGCUCCCCCCCUCCUCCUCUCCCGGCUCCUCGCGCCCUCCCCACCCCAAGGGCUCCCACUCCGUUUGCUGCAUUCCCGGAGCAGCUGGCGAGCCUGCCCCUGCCAGGCGGAGCGGGCAGUGCCGGGCCACCGGCAGCAGCCGCCAAAGGUAGGUCUCCCCCGCGGGCUGGUGCCGCGGCCGGCCGGCAACUUCUCCGCAGCGGGGGCACUGCGGGCCCUCCCCCAGCGGCCACCCAUCUGCCCAACUCCUGUCGCCGGGGUCCGGGCGCUCCGCCCUCCCUCCGCCCUCCCUCCUCCCCGGCCGCCCGGCGCCUCUGCGGCCGCCUGCACUUUCCUCCCUCGGGACAGAGCGGCCCUUUGUGCGGGCGCCGCUGUGCGGAGUUGGGCCGGCGCCUUCUCCACCCGACCGUCCCCAGCCCCCCCUCUGCGAAUCGGGCAUCAGAUCAACCUCGCUGGAGCCCCGUCCCCAGCCCCUAGGGUGCCUGGCAGCGGAGGCAGCAGCAUCCCAAGCCCUUGCCGGUCCCUCUCCCCGUCUCCCCCGACCCCUUUAGUCACCUGGGCUGGGACUGAGCCAGCAGGGAUUGGCCAGCGUGGGGAGCUGGGGGACUGGGAGGGCGGGCAGGUGGGGCUGCGCCAGGCUCCCCACGGCUGGUCCAGCUGGGUCCCUGACGGUGCUGGUGGCCUGGGGAGCCGGUCCCCGGGGAGGGGCAGCGGUGGCGGGGCGCCUGACUUCUUCCACCUUUGGCUCACUCGGCUCACUCCCCUGGGCACCCCCACCCCUGGCCUUCCUGCAGGGGGACGAGGGGCCGGCUUCUCAGCCAGUGGGGUGGGACUCCCCCCUUGUGGGCCCUCUGUGCGGCUGCUCCGAGGGGUAAGAAAAACAAACCAGAAACCAAAAAACCCCCUUGCAAGACCCGCUCGCGCUGGGUUCCGGCCCCCACCCAGGGGAAGGGCCGUGAGGGGCUCCUUUGCUGCUAACUUUUUCUUGGGGAGAAGAGUUUGCAGACGCGGCCCGCCACCCUCACCCCUCCCGGCCGCCACCACCCUCACCCCUCCAAGCUGCCGCGGGUGGGGUGCCCUGUUCCGUGUUCUGUCCUCUGUCCUCCCCGUCCUCUCCGUCCUCCUGGAGUGCAGGCCUCCGUUUCUGUUCCUGUCUUCUGCUGAGACGGGGCGCUCCUGCCCGAGGGCUCAAGCGCUCUCCUGGGGGUGGGCUCUGGGAGCCGCACAAGGUGUGGGGGGCAUCCCCUUGGCUGGAAUGCGGCUGUGCGAGUCCCAUGCAGUGUGGGCUGCAGGCCCAGCCGGGGCCCCCCCUGGGCCCCCUUUGCUGGAGGGAGCCCUGCUGGAGGGCUGGGGAGGGGGCCCCAUGGAGGGCGCUGCGUUGAGGAGGGGUGGAGGGGGGCCGGGCGUGCUGGGGCGGAGCGCGUUUCCAUCCGCUUGGUGGGUGGGCGCUGGCCGUCCAGGAGCCUGA